UGGGGAAUAUUGGACAAUGGGGGCAACCCUGAUCCAGCGAUGCCGCGUGAGUGAAGAAGGCCCUAGGGUCGUAAAGCUCUUUAGGUUGGGAAGAAGGGUAUGUGAGGAAAUGCAUGUACUUUGACGGUACCGACAGAAUAAGCACCGGCAAACUCUGUGCCAGCAGCCGCGGUAAUACAGAGGGUGCGAGCGUUAAUCGGAUUUACUGGGCGUAAAGGGCGCGUAGGCGGCAAGAUGUGUGUGAUGUGAAAGCCCCGAGCUCAACUUGGGAAGUGCAUCGCAAACUGUUUAGCUAGAGUAUAUGAGAGGGUGGCGGAAUUUCCGGUGUAGCGGUGAAAUGCGUAGAGAUCGGAAGGAACGUCGAUGGCGAAGGCAGCCACCUGGCAUAAUACUGACGCUGAGGCGCGAAAGCGUGGGGAGCGAACAGG
rnacentral:rRNA from 1 species